rnacentral:rRNA from 1 species
UACGUAUGGUGCAAGCGUUAUCCGGAUUUACUGGGUGUAAAGGGAGCGUAGACGGAGUGGCAAGUCUGAUGUGAAAACCCGGGGCUCAACCCCGGGACUGCAUUGGAAACUGUCAAUCUAGAGUACCGGAGAGGUAAGCGGAAUUCCUAGUGUAGCGGUGGAAUGCGUAGAUAUUAGGAGGAACACCAGUGGCGAAGGCGGCUUACUGGACGGUAACUGACGUUGAGGCUCGAAAGCGUGGGGAGCAAACAGG